GGGUUGUGAGGUUAAGCGACUAAGCGUACACGGUGGAUGCCCUGGCAGUCAGAGGCGAUGAAGGACGUGCUAAUCUGCGAUAAGCGUCGGUAAGGUGAUAUGAACCGUUAUAACCGGCGAUUUCCGAAUGGGGAAACCCAGUGUGAUUCGUCACACUAUCAUUAACUGAAUCCAUAGGUUAAUGAGGCGAACCGGGGGAACUGAAACAUCUAAGUACCCCGAGGAAAAGAAAUCAACCGAGAUUCCCCCAGUAGCGGCGAGCGAACGGGGAGCAGCCCAGAGCCUGAAUCAGUGUGUGUGUUAGUGGAAGCGUCUGGAAAGGCGCGCGAUACAGGGUGACAGCCCCGUACACAAAAAUGCACAUGCUGUGAGCUCGAUGAGUAGGGCGGGACACGUGGUAUCCUGUCUGAAUAUGGGGGGACCAUCCUCCAAGGCUAAAUACUCCUGACUGACCGAUAGUGAACCAGUACCGUGAGGGAAAGGCGAAAAGAACCCCGGCGAGGGGAGUGAAAAAGAACCUGAAACCGUGUACGUACAAGCAGUGGGAGCACGCUUCGGCGUGUGACUGCGUACCUUUUGUAUAAUGGGUCAGCGACUUAUAUUCUGUAGCAAGGUUAACCGAAUAGGGGAGCCGAAGGGAAACCGAGUCUUAACUGGGCGUUAAGUUGCAGGGUAUAGACCCGAAACCCGGUGAUCUAGCCAUGGGCAGGUUGAAGGUUGGGUAACACUAACUGGAGGACCGAACCGACUAAUGUUGAAAAAUUAGCGGAUGACUUGUGGCUGGGGGUGAAAGGCCAAUCAAACCGGGAGAUAGCUGGUUCUCCCCGAAAGCUAUUUAGGUAGCGCCUCGUGAAUUCAUCUCCGGGGGUAGAGCACUGUUUCGGCAAGGGGGUCAUCCCGACUUACCAACCCGAUGCAAACUGCGAAUACCGGAGAAUGUUAUCACGGGAGACACACGGCGGGUGCUAACGUCCGUCGUGAAGAGGGAAACAACCCAGACCGCCAGCUAAGGUCCCAAAGUCAUGGUUAAGUGGGAAACGAUGUGGGAAGGCCCAGACAGCCAGGAUGUUGGCUUAGAAGCAGCCAUCAUUUAAAGAAAGCGUAAUAGCUCACUGGUCGAGUCGGCCUGCGCGGAAGAUGUAACGGGGCUAAACCAUGCACCGAAGCUGCGGCAGCGACGCUGAUGCGUUGUUGGGUAGGGGAGCGUUCUGUAAGCCUGCGAAGGUGUGCUGUGAGGCAUGCUGGAGGUAUCAGAAGUGCGAAUGCUGACAUAAGUAACGAUAAAGCGGGUGAAAAGCCCGCUCGCCGGAAGACCAAGGGUUCCUGUCCAACGUUAAUCGGGGCAGGGUGAGUCGACCCCUAAGGCGAGGCCGAAAGGCGUAGUCGAUGGGAAACAGGUUAAUAUUCCUGUACUUGGUGUUACUGCGAAGGGGGGACGGAGAAGGCUAUGUUGGCCGGGCGACGGUUGUCCCGGUUUAAGCGUGUAGGCUGGUUUUCCAGGCAAAUCCGGAAAAUCAAGGCUGAGGCGUGAUGACGAGGCACUACGGUGCUGAAGCAACAAAUGCCCUGCUUCCAGGAAAAGCCUCUAAGCAUCAGGUAACAUCAAAUCGUACCCCAAACCGACACAGGUGGUCAGGUAGAGAAUACCAAGGCGCUUGAGAGAACUCGGGUGAAGGAACUAGGCAAAAUGGUGCCGUAACUUCGGGAGAAGGCACGCUGAUAUGUAGGUGAAGCGACUUGCUCGUGGAGCUGAAAUCAGUCGAAGAUACCAGCUGGCUGCAACUGUUUAUUAAAAACACAGCACUGUGCAAACACGAAAGUGGACGUAUACGGUGUGACGCCUGCCCGGUGCCGGAAGGUUAAUUGAUGGGGUCAGCGCAAGCGAAGCUCUUGAUCGAAGCCCCGGUAAACGGCGGCCGUAACUAUAACGGUCCUAAGGUAGCGAAAUUCCUUGUCGGGUAAGUUCCGACCUGCACGAAUGGCGUAAUGAUGGCCAGGCUGUCUCCACCCGAGACUCAGUGAAAUUGAACUCGCUGUGAAGAUGCAGUGUACCCGCGGCAAGACGGAAAGACCCCGUGAACCUUUACUAUAGCUUGACACUGAACAUUGAGCCUUGAUGUGUAGGAUAGGUGGGAGGCUUUGAAGUGUGGACGCCAGUCUGCAUGGAGCCGACCUUGAAAUACCACCCUUUAAUGUUUGAUGUUCUAACGUUGACCCGUAAUCCGGGUUGCGGACAGUGUCUGGUGGGUAGUUUGACUGGGGCGGUCUCCUCCUAAAGAGUAACGGAGGAGCACGAAGGUUGGCUAAUCCUGGUCGGACAUCAGGAGGUUAGUGCAAUGGCAUAAGCCAGCUUGACUGCGAGCGUGACGGCGCGAGCAGGUGCGAAAGCAGGUCAUAGUGAUCCGGUGGUUCUGAAUGGAAGGGCCAUCGCUCAACGGAUAAAAGGUACUCCGGGGAUAACAGGCUGAUACCGCCCAAGAGUUCAUAUCGACGGCGGUGUUUGGCACCUCGAUGUCGGCUCAUCACAUCCUGGGGCUGAAGUAGGUCCCAAGGGUAUGGCUGUUCGCCAUUUAAAGUGGUACGCGAGCUGGGUUUAGAACGUCGUGAGACAGUUCGGUCCCUAUCUGCCGUGGGCGCUGGAGAACUGAGGGGGGCUGCUCCUAGUACGAGAGGACCGGAGUGGACGCAUCACUGGUGUUCGGGUUGUCAUGCCAAUGGCACUGCCCGGUAGCUAAAUGCGGAAGAGAUAAGUGCUGAAAGCAUCUAAGCACGAAACUUGCCCCGAGAUGAGUUCUCCCUGACUCCUUGAGAGUCCUGAAGGAACGUUGAAGACGACGACGUUGAUAGGCCGGGUGUGUAAGCGCAGCGAUGCGUUGAGCUAACCGGUACUAAUGAACCGUGAGGCUUAACCUUACAACGCCGAAG
rnacentral:rRNA from 1 species